UAGCUCAAUAGUAGAGAACUUGGCUUGCAAUCAAAAGGUCCUGGGUUCAAUUCUCAG
rnacentral:tRNA from 1 species